GGAGAUGUAGUUCAGUGGUAAAGCGCUUGCCUAACAUGCAUGAGGCCCUGGGUUCAAUCCCCAGCACCACCA